rnacentral:rRNA from 9 species
CAUACGACUCUCGGCAACGGAUAUCUCGGCUCUCGCAUCGAUGAAGAACGUAGCGAAAUGCGAUACUUGGUGUGAAUUGCAGAAUCCCGUGAACCAUCGAGUCUUUGAACGCAAGUUGCGCCCGAGGCCUUUCGGCCGAGGGCACGCCUGCCUGGGCGUCACGCC